CAGCAGCCGCGGUAAUACGGAGGGGGCUAGCGUUGUUCGAAAUUACUGGGCGUAAAGCGCACGUAGGCGGCUUGGUAAGUUAGAGGUGAAAGCCCGGAGCUCAACUCCGGAAUUGCCUUUAAGACUGCCGAGCUAGCAGGUGAGAGAGGUAAGUGGAAUUCCGAGUGUAGAGGUGAAAUUCGUAGAUAUUCGGAAGAACACCAGUGGCGAAGGCGGCUUACUGGCUCAUACUGGACGCUGAGGUGCGAAAGCGUGGGGAGCAAACAGGAUUAGAUACCCGUGUAGUCCCUGUCUCUUAUAC
rnacentral:rRNA from 1 species